GUUCACCCUGGGUGGCAAGACCAGGGCUGAAGGACCUUGUACCAGCAACUAAAUGCUCUGUGCUGAAAGUGAUGCACAUCACCAUGGCCCACAACUCAUAGUCCAGGAUGGCUCAUAUGACCCCACUGCAAUCACAAGGUCCCAGCUGGGGAAGACCUAAAUCAUCAACCAGGAUGUCUCCUUCCAGAAUCCUCAGGGAAGGAGAGUUCACAGCUUGGCUGCCCUACUCCCCCUCCUUCCACAAAAUGUUGUAGUGUUUAAUCAUCCUUGCAUUAAGGUUUCCUAAGUCUUAUUGUUUCAGGUACCAAGAGUGCCUUUAAGAUGACUGAGGGCGAAAACCAGUGUGUUCUGAUAUGAGGAUUCAGUCAUUCCACCUGAGUAGCUGCUCCCUGCAGCCACCUGUCUUCAGAUUGGCCAAUCAUUCUGGACUCUGGCCCCUAGCUCUGUGGUCAGCUUGGUCCAGGUCAUCUUCCCCAUGUGGCUUGGAGGAAUUUCUAGCAAACUCCUGGAUUUUGAAACAUGACUUGGCCUCUUUGACCAAGUCCUGAACCAGACACCAGCUCACUGCCUUCCAGGUCUGAUCCUGUAGAUUCCUCAUUUAAUCAUCCAGCCAAGCCCUGUGUUAUUGUAGAGGAGG
rnacentral:lncRNA from 1 species